rnacentral:rRNA from 1 species
UACGUAGGGGGCAAGCGUUGUCCGGAAUCAUUGGGCGUAAAGCGCGUGUAGGCGGCCCGUUAAGUCCGCUGUGAAAGUCCAGGGCUCAACCCUGGAAUGCCGGUGGAUACUGUCGGGCUCGAGUCCGGUAGAGGCGAGUGGAAUUCCUGGUGUAGCGGUGAAAUGCGCAGAUAUCAGGAGGAACACCGAUGGCGAAGGCAGCUCGCUGGGACGGUACUGACGCUGAGACGCGAAAGCGUGGGGAGCAAACAGG